GUCGGUUAGGGGCCGCCGGUCUGCGGAGCCCUGCGCCCCGCCCAGCGCGGCCCACGCGAGGCCCAGCGGAGCCGCGUUCCUGCCCCGAGGUGGCGCGGCCCGGACACCGCAGGUGCUGCCUGGGCUCCUGCCUCUCUCGCCUGGUUUAAGGUUGCCAUGACCAUCGAUCCAGCUGAGCCCAACGUGAGAUUUAAGAAGAACUACCUGGACUUAAUGCCCCCUUUCGACCGUUCUAAGCACAAGCAUGUGAUUGAAGACCAAUAUUGUCACCUGUGCGAGUCUUCCUGAGCCUGAAAGCAAUACAUUGUGGAUCUUGCAACAAGUGCAUGACUGGCUUUGACCACCACUGUGAAUGGCUCAACAACUGCAUGGGCACCAGGAACUACCUGUCUGAAAGGGGCCUCGGCUCGGGGCCAGAACAGGCCGCCCGUCCCGGCCGAGUGUCAGAACGUGCUGUGAGAUUCAGCUCCCUCUGCCUACCCACCAUGCUGCACGGGAGACCUGGAGACGCAGGCGAGAACGCAUGUCCUGCAGAAUUGCACGCCUGGGAGCGAGCUGGGCGGCCCCGCCCCUCCUGCUCCCCUGGAGAGGGGCAGCCCCAGGUGGCCAGAGGCAGGGCCAGGUCCUCUCGCUCAUGCUGGCCACAGGGCUCGCUGCCUCCUGGAUGCUGGCUUGUCGUGGCAGUGUCUGGUUCCUCAGCUGGUCAGAUUCCUCUUUGGAAGGUGCUAUACGGGGAUGUUGAGGGCAUGUGGCCCCACCAUGAGGGGCACAUGGGCACAUGGCAGGGAGAGGCACUGCCUUCUCAGAGGAGCACCCAGAGGGAAGGGUGCUUUGUGGAGCAGCACCACCCAUGCUCACAGAUAGACUGCGCUGGGUUUCAUGACGUUCAGUCAUGAGCCCCCAGUGCGGUUCCGGAACUCAGGGCCCAGCCUGCACGCUCAUUGGGGAGGGAGCCCUGGUCUGAGCAAAGCGGGAGGUGGGCAGUGCAGGCGCACCUCUGACCCUGGGGCCAGCCACGCCCAGCGGGCCCGGUUGGCCUGGGCACAUCAGGCGGUGUCUAUGAGCCUCAGUUUCCUUAUUUGUGAAAAAGGACUGGUUCCCCUCCUCACAGCCUCCGUGUGGGGAUUAAAUGAAGCCAUGCCUGCACUGUGUAAAUUGCAAGGCAGUCAAAACUAUAGGUGUGACCAACAGUCAUCACCAGUCAGGGGCAUCUGCCUGGAGAACUGGGAAUGGUCAGAUGUGGGGCACAGAGCAGGGUGGGCCAGAGGGUGGCAGGAACACUCAGGUCGCCUCCCUUCUUGGGUGGCCGGCUGGUACCUGGCCUGUCUGUCCUCAGCUGGCUCUUGUGCCCCGGCCUCAGCCUCUGCCUCUCCCUCAGGUUCUUCUUCCGCUGGGUGGCCUCAUCCUCAGUAAGCCUGGUCUGCAUUAUGGCGUCCUGCUGUUCGUCUCCAUGCAGUUCUACACGGACCCAGACCAGCUCCACAGACCUGGAGUUGGUGAGAAUGCUGCCGCCAUGCUCUGGGGCUGCUGUGUCCACACUUGGCCUCCAGCCCCACGCUCCAGCCACCUUCCAGGGCAAGAGUGUUGAGUCUGGGAGGGGUCAGCCCCACUCACACCAGCGAGAGGGUGGGGGGGCUGGAGCUGGCAAGCCCUGGUGUGCCCCUGGCUGGGCGCCUCUUGCAGGCUUCAACGCUGGGCUGCAAGCUGCGGCCCCGGGAGGCUGUGCAACCAGGCGACCCUGUACUGCCCAGCCCCUGGGCACAGGGAAGGCAAGCACCCAGCCUGCAGGAGAGGGGAGAGCAGAAGGGGCCAGUGGUGCAGGGCAUGGGCUCCAAGGGGCAGCUCCAUGGAGCUCUCUGCUCCGUGUCCAGGUGCCCGGGCCUGAGCAGCAGACGUCUGCAGCAGUAGAGGGAGCGGUGUGUUGGGCUCAAGGUGGCCUCCAGAGAGGUGUGCAUGUCCCAACCCCGGACCUGUAACAGCCACCUUAUGGGGAAAAGGGUCUUUGCAAAUGUGAUUAAGGAUCUUGAGAUGAGGAGACCAUCUGGGUUAUCCGGGAGGACCCCAAUCCAAUGACGAACAUCCUCAUAAAAGACAGAAGAGGAGACACAGACACGGAGGAGAAGCCACGUGGAGACGGACGCAGAGACUAGAGUGAUGUGGCCACAAGCCAAGGGACGCCUGGAGCCCCGGGAGCUGGAAGAGGCAGGAAGGAGCCUGCAGAGGGAGCACGGCCCCGAGAAACCUGCUUGUCAGACUUGGCCUCCAGAAUGUGAAAAGAUGCUGUUGCUGAAGGCCCCCAGAGUGUGGCCAUCUGUCAUGACAGCCACAGGAUGCUGACCCUCAAGCACCGGAGGAGCAGCCGCUCAGGGUCAGAUCGCAGCCACUUGUCUCCCUGCCCUGGGGUUGGGUUGAGGCCACCUGUCUCAGCCCUAGGCAUGGCUUCUGUAGGGUGUCAGAGCCAACCCUCAAGGCAGGAGGGGCAGGACCAGCACACCACUCGUUCUAGAACAUUCCCAGAACCAACGCGAUGUCAAAGCUUUCAAGAGUGAGCUUUGCUCUGCCUGUGUGGAAGGCCCUUCAGCUCCUCUGCCCACUGGGAAGAGCCGGCUGUGACCCCAGGGCUACUCAGACGCUCCUGAAGCACUUUCUGAGCAGGCUGCACUGGGUGCGCCUGCCCUCAGGCCCAGCGCCACCUGCCUGAUGUGCACUGAGGAGUCCUCUUCCCAGACGGUCUCCACGUUACCUGGCCUCUCGCUCCGGUAGGAUGUGGGGGGGGAGGGACAGGAGCAGAGCUGUCGGCCGCAGGGCCCUGGCGCGGCUUCUCUCCUGGAGACACACCAGCUCUGCACAGGACUGUGACUGGCUCCAUGGAAGUUCCUGACUGUGGACUGGAGCGAUUUCCUGCAUUUACUGUUCCAGAAGAUUCCACAGGGCUUCAUCGUCACCAGAUCCCUGAGCAAAGCCAGGUCUCUCUGCUUCUCUCCUUGGAGCUGGACCCGUUGUGACAUCGCUGGCUGAGUGGGGUCCAGCCCGGCCCCACGGAGCUCUGCCACCCCACUGUGGGACGCAGAUGUCGGGGCUGGAGUUCAGUCUCCCACUUCUCCACCCUGCACACUCCUCAGUGUGCUGCUCACACCGGGGUUUUGGAAGUGAUGUGGCUUUGAAUGCUGGCUGCUCUGGGGUCUCGAGGCCGUCCUAGAGAUGCCCCCAGGUGAGGGCUGCGGCCCCCUGUCCUAUCUGAGGCAGGUUGAGAAUGGAAGGGCCCAGGGAGGCAGGAGGGCCUGUGCAGGGCAUGGGUCUCGGGGGCCGGCGGGGGGACAGGCUCAUAACCUGGGCACUCAGUUUCCCUCCUGAGCCCAAGUGGGGAUUGUGACAGCAGCCGUGGUCGGGGGGACCAGGCCUGGGUGAGGCAGGCAUGUUGGAGUGGGGCGGCAUCCCCCGGGCUGAUCGAAGGCUGCUGUGUCAGAGGGCUGGACAGACGGGCCUCUGUCUCCACAGAUCUCGGGGGGCACCGACACGUGGCUGUGGUUCCUGCCCGUCUUCCCCGUCGAGGUCAACACAAAUGUCUCGUUACUCAUCCUCAUUCCCACCAUCCUGCAUGAAGCCUGCAGCCUGGUCUCCAUCGGGCAUGUGCUGAUCUUCACCUCCGCCUCAGUGCCUGUCCCAGCCCCGCCCCGCGUGCCCUCACCUGUCCCAGGCAGGCAGCUCCCAGGUCAGCCCAUGCCAGAAACGAGAUCAUAGGCAAAAAGAACAAAUCACAGGAAGAAAAGAAAUACCACCCGAGGGUCAGCAGGUCCAUCCAGGAAUUGAAUUCACGUUCCUAGACCUGCAGAAAGCACAGAGAGGCUUCUAAACUAAUAGAUUUAAAAUGUUUAAAGAGACAAAGGAAUAGGACCUAUUAGGCAAGAAUAGGACAUUAUGAAGAAAGAAUAGGUGGAUUUUUAAAAGCACCAAAUGGAGAUUCUAGCAAUGAAAAUUAGCAGUCUCCAUGGACAGGCUAUCUGUCCAUGGAGAUUGCUAAUGGACAAGCGCCGAGGGCAGCGCAGGCCUGGUCACAUGGGACUGGGGAAGGUGGAGCUUCUCCCACUGCAGGAAGCUUUUUUUUGGAAGUCACAACCACGUCCUUCCUCGUGGCACACAAGGUCUCUGCCACAGCGGGUCAGCCCCUGGGCUGCAGUCUCAGAGGAUGUCACAGGGGCCAGCAGCCAGGCCAGAGCGGCUCCAGGCUCCUGCGAACACGCUGCCCAUCCCCUCUGGGGUGGAGGGCCAGGCCGGGCUCUGGGCUCACCCCAGCCCCUGCGCUCCCAGGGCGGCCUCCUCCCGCGGUUGCGGGCAGAACACCCAGCACCGAGCAAACUCCCCUCCCUGUUCCCACAAGCCACCAUCAGCUCACAGCCCGAGAAUGUUUCAGAGCAUACAUUUCUAAUGCAAAUCUUGCAGUUACUGUUGUCUUGCCUGAGGCUUGGAAUCUUUUAAGCGUGUACAGUGAAGACGACUGGAUUAAACCUUACGGGCACAAUACUCAAA